ensembl:lncRNA
CGUGUGUGUGUGUAUAUGUCUAUCAUAACCUGUGUGUGUGUGUGUGUGUGUGUGUGUGUGUGUGUGUGUGUGUGUGUGGCGGGGAGGAAGAGAGCCAGUGUGAAGCAGCAGAGUCUCAGCAGCAACCUCUUCAUCCUGGAAAGAGCGGACCAAUCAGGACAGCCAUAUUUCAGUCCCGCCCCUCAGGUCCAGGAAGUAUGUCAGGAGGUGGAUGAGUUCAUCUAUGUGGCCAAUGCAGAGACGGGAAGAGGUAACACCAAGACUCCAACACAUUCCUCAUACUUGCUCCUAUUCCUAGGCCCUUGUUGCCAGCCAGAUAAUCUUGUCAAGCUAUCGCAACAUCAGGCUGGUUCCACCAGGCUACCUUCCAGGACCAGAUCCAGGGA